rnacentral:rRNA from 1 species
AUUAGGAAUCUUGCGCAAUGGGGGCAACCCUGACGCAGCGACGCCGCGUGGAGGAGGAAGGCCUUCGGGUUGUAAACUCCUUUUCACGAGGAAGAAACAAAUGACGGUACUUGUGGAAUAAGCCCCGGCUAACUCCGUGCCAGCAGCCGCGGUAAUACGGAGGGGGCGAGCGUUGUCCGAAGUUACUGGGCGUAAAGGGCGCGUAGGCGGGUUGGCAAGUCCGCUGUGAAAGCCUGGCGCUUAACGCCAGAGGGUCGGUGGAUACUGCCAGUCUUGAAGGUGCUAGGGAGAGAUGGAAUUACCAGUGUAGCGGUGAAAUGCGUAGAUAUUGGUAGGAACACCCGUGGCGAAGGCGGUCUCUUGGGGCAUUCUUGACGCUGAGGCGCGAAAGCUGGGGGAGCGAACGG